rnacentral:rRNA from 1 species
CUACGGGCCGCUGCAGUGGGGAAUAUUGCACAAGGGAGGAAACUCUGAUGCAGCAACGCCGCGUGGAGGAUGACACUUUUCGGAGCGUAAACUCCUUUUAUAUAGGAAGAAGAUGACGGUACUAUAUGAAUAAGCGCCGACUAACUCCGUGCCAGCAGCCGCGGUAAUACGGAGGGCGCAAGCGUUACUCGGAAUCACUGGGCGUAAAGAGCGUGUAGGCGGAUUAAAAAGUCAGAAGUGAAAUCCUAUAGCUUAACUAUAGAACUGCUUCUGAAACUCUUAAUCUAGAAUAUGGGAGAGGUAGAUGGAAUUUCUGGUGUAGGGGUAAAAUCCGUAGAGAUCAGAAGGAAUACCGAUUGCGAAGGCGAUCUACUAGAACAUUAUUGACGCUGAGACGCGAAAGCGUGGGGAGCAAACAGGAUUAGAUACCCGGGUAGUC